UACAGAGGGGGCAAGCGGUGCUCGGAAUGACUGGGCGUAAAGGGCGCGUAGGCGGUUUCGCAAGUCCGACGUUAAAGUCCUGGGCUCAACCGGGGGGCUGCGUUUGAUACGGCGGGACUUGAGUGCGGAAGAGGGACGUGGAAUUACCGGUGUAGAGGUGAAAUGCGUAGAUAUUGGGAAGAACACCGGUGGCGAAGGCGGCGAGCUGGUCGGUGACUGACGCUGAGGCGCGAAAGCGUGGGGAGCAAACAGG
rnacentral:rRNA from 1 species